rnacentral:lncRNA from 1 species
AAAUAUUUGAUUUUGCGGUAAAUUUUUGCAGGAUCUGUUCGGCCGCACCCCGGACGGUACAGAAAAACAGGUUUUAGUUUUUCCUUAUAUAGUGAUUUCCCGUACCGUGAUAUAAGGAUUUGCUAGACAUGCUCUAGCACACGAGUAACGAUGAAUGAAGUGACAUGUCAUUUCUUCAUCCGAAGCUAACAUGAAUUUUAAUAGGAAUACAAACUUCACGAGGUAACACCACAACUCCGCAAGAAUCCUCACAACAAUGAGGUCAAUGACUAGAAGCUACUGUUUGCACUGGCCAGCAGCAGGUUCGCGGGCCGUGCAGCUGGCACGACGAGUGCCACAAGCCGAGCAUGGCCCGGCGCUCAAGUACCACGGGCGCCACGAGCCAGCCCAAGCACGGCGCCUCCUGACGACUCGAGAGACCGCUUCAUGGCGGGACGCCUCCGCAGCCUUCCGCUUCUUCUUCUUCCCGAGGAAGACGGCGGUGAGCACCGUCUUGGAUCGCAGCCACGCCCUCAGUAUUCCCAAGCACUACACAACCGCAUUAUCUGAACUACGGUCUACGAAUCCAAUUUCGGCUAAAAGUUUUGACAAUUAACAAGUCAUUUGUUACCUCUGCGUGGCCAAGCUGCACGGUCUUCUGUUUUCUGGAUG